rnacentral:rRNA from 1 species
AUUGAACGCUGGCGGCAUGCCUACACAUGCAAGUCGAACGGUAACGGGUCUUCGGAUGCUGACGAGUGGCGAACGGGUGAGUAAUGCAUCGGAACGUGCCCAGUUGUGGGGGAUAACUGCUCGAAAGAGCAGCUAAUACCGCAUACGACCUGAGGGUGAAAGCGGGGGAUCGCAAGACCUCGCGCAAUUGGAGCGGCCGAUGUCAGAUUAGGUAGUUGGUGGGGUAAAGGCCUACCAAGCCGACGAUCUGUAGUUGGUCUGAGAGGACGACCAGCCACACUGGGACUGAGACACGGCCCAGACUCCUACGGGAGGCAGCAGUGGGGAAUUUUGGACAAUGGGCGCAAGCCUGAUCCAGCAAUGCCGCGUGCAGGAAGAAGGCCUUCGGGUUGUAAACUGCUUUUGUCAGGGAAGAAAUCCUCUGGGUUAAUACCCCGGGGGGAUGACGGUACCUGAAGAAUAAGCACCGGCUAACUACGUGCCAGCCGCCGCCGUAA